rnacentral:lncRNA from 1 species
CAACCCGGGGAGAUAGGAUUUGUUUUGAUUACUGUAUCAGGAAGGAAGGAGCUGUGUAGAUGUGUCCUGGAGAAUCCAGGGGGCAUGUCUGAUGCCCCUGAAACUGCCUGAUCAAUGGAUUCUCCAGGCAAGAAUACUGGAGUGGGUUGCUGUGCCCUUCUCAAGAAUAGAAGAAUGGACCAAAAUCUCAGAGGUAUCCCUCAGCCAACCUUCUCCGGGGGCCGGCAGCCACCUCAGGAGAAAGCCAUCUCGAAACUCUCGCAAGGUUUACCUCUUUAGCAGGCGAAUGCCCAUACGAACCAAACAUUCUAAGGAAAUUCAUCAUAACCCCUGGAUGAAAAGGUAACAGAAAAGUGACGGUGUCUGGUACCGGCUUCUCCUGUAUCAGGUAGGUACUGACAGGGUGAUAACUACCUCUGCCCUGAACACACGGAGAUGCACACACUCGUCUGCUGAGCCUCAUUUCCUCUAAGAAAUGUUAAGCCAUCUGUCCAAAGAGAUGGUAUGAGGAUGAAAAUUCCUUUAAAGGAAAAAAUGAUGUGGUAAAACCCAAACUCAAACCCAGGGUAAGAGUGGUGUUGAUCUUCUAUGCUUCGAUUUUCUAGAAGCAGCUUCAGGCAGCAGGCUCCGCAGGCCGGUGAAUUCAGGGGCCGUUUUAGGGCAAGCCAGGUGGGAUUAGAUGUUCCAAUGUGCACUGUGCUCCUAAGCCCGCUGUGAUCUGAAACUUAGCUCUUGGGCUUGGGCCAGAACCAGCCUGACGUUCAAGGGUGAGCACAGAAGGCAGCAGCCUUCAGGCAACCGCUGUGCAGAAUUCUCUGGAUAAUGCCUUUGGCUCUGUUCUCUCCAACGCUGGUCAGAUGAUCCCAGUCCAUCCGCGACCCCCUUGGUGUCACUAUAGGUGCGUCCUGCUGAAAUCGUACAUCUUUUUAAGAUUCUGAAAAUAAAUCCUAUCACUAUCUUCUGGUCUCAGUUGAGAACAGUUAUCUUUCAGUGGUUUUCACAGUAUAACUAACUUGCCCAAUUUUACUAAGGCUCUAUAACUUCAUUAGGAGGUUAGCUGUAAUGAAAAAAAAAUAGUACUUAAUUA